AUUGAACGCUGGCGGCAUGCUUUACACAUGCAAGUCGAACGGCAGCACGGGGGCAACCCUGGUGGCGAGUGGCGAACGGGUGAGUAAUAUAUCGGAACAUAUCCGGAAGUGGGGGAUAACGUACCGAAAGGUACGCUAAUACCGCAUAUGCCCUGAGGGGGAAAGGGGGGAUCGCAAGACCUCUCGCUUUCGGAGUGGCCGAUAUCGGAUUAGCUAGUUGGUGAGGUAAAGGCUCACCAAGGCGACGAUCCGUAGCUGGUCUGAGAGGACGACCAGCCACACUGGAACUGAGACACGGUCCAGACUCCUACGGGAGGCAGCCUGAGACGCCAAGGCACACAGGGGAUAGG
rnacentral:rRNA from 1 species